AAGACUAUAGACCUGCGGAGUACCUGCGGAAGGAUCAUUAAAGAGAAAACUGCCCUUUGGGUAGAUCUCCCACCCUUUGUUUACCUUACCUUUGUUGCUUUGGCAGGCCCGUCUUCUGACCACCGGCUUUUAGCUGGUCCGUGCCUGCCAGAGGACCCCCAACUCUUGAUUUCAAGUUGUCCGAGUCUUAUAUAAUAGUAAAAACUUUCAGCAACGGAUCUCUAGAUCGGAAGAGCACAC
rnacentral:misc_RNA from 1 species